UACGAAGGAUGCAAGCGUUAUCCGGAUUCAUUGGGUUUAAAGGGUGCGUAGGCGGACUUGUAAGUCAGUGGUGAAAUCUCUCAGCUUAACUGAGAAACUGCCAUUGAUACUAUAGAUCUUGAAUUUUCUGGAGGUAAGCGGAAUAUGUCAUGUAGCGGUGAAAUGCUUAGAUAUGACAUAGAACACCAAUUGCGAAGGCAGCUUGCUACAGGGAUAUUGACACUGAGGCACGAAAGCGUGGGGAUCAAACAGG
rnacentral:rRNA from 1 species